rnacentral:piRNA from 1 species
UAGUUGGGUGCAAGGCUGGGGUGGGCGGG